ensembl:snRNA U6 U6 spliceosomal RNA
GUGCUUGUUUCAGCAGUAUAUAAGUUAAAAUUGGAAUGAUACAGAGAAGAUUAAUAUGGCCCCUGCAUAAGGAUGACAUAUAAAUUUGUGAAGCAUUAGUUCAGCAAUAUGU